GUGCCAGCCGCCGCGGUAAUACCGGCAGCUCAAGUGAUGGCCAAUAUUAUUGGGCCUAAAGCGUCCGUAGCCUGCCAGACAGGUCCGUCGGGAAAUCUGCUCGCUCAACGAGCAGGCGUCCGGCGGAAACCAGCUGGCUUGGGGCCGGAAGACCCAAGGGGUACGUCUGGGGUAGGAGUGAAAUCCUGUAAUCCUAGACGGACCACCGAUCGCGAAAGCACCUUGGGAGGACGGACCCGACGGUGAGGGACGAAAGCUAGGGUCACGAACCGGAUUAGAUACCCCGGUAGUCC
rnacentral:rRNA from 1 species